GACGAACGCUGGCGGCGUGCCUAACACAUGCAAGUCGUACGAGGACGGGAGCUUGCUCCUGAUCCGAGUGGCGAACGGGUGCGUAACACGUGACUAACCUGUCCCAGGGUGAGGGACAACCUGGGGAAACCCGGGCUAAUACCGCAUGAUGUCUCGAGGUCGCAUGGCCAUGAGAUCAAAGAGGGCCUCUGCUUGCAAGCUCUCGCCCAGGGAGGGGGUCGCGGCGUAUCAGCUAGUUGGUAGGGUAAUGGCCUACCAAGGCUACGACGCGUAGCGGGUCUGAGAGGACGGCCCCGCCACAUUGGGACUGAGAUACGGCCAGACUCCUACGGGAGGCAGCAGUGGGGAAUAUUGCGCAAUGGACGAAAGUCUGACGCAGCGACGCCGUGUGUGGGAGGAAGCUCUUCGGGGUGUAAACCACUGUCAGGAGGGAAGAACGGCGCCAGGUCGAACAGGUCUGGCGAUUGACGGUACCUCCAAAGGAAGCGCCGGCUAACUCCGUGCCAGCGCCGCGGUAAGACGGAGGGCGCAAGCGUUGUUCGGAAUUACUGGGCGUAAAGCGCGGGCAGGUGGUCUGUUAAGUCGUUUGUGAAAAUCCGGGGCUCAACCCCGUGAAUGCGUACGAUACUGGCAGGCUGGAGAUCGGUAGAGGCUAGCGGAAUUCCUGGUGUAGCGGUGGAAUGCGUAGAU
rnacentral:rRNA from 1 species